AGGAUGAACGCUGGCGGCGUGCCUAACACAUGCAAGUCGAACGUCCUGUCUCGCAAGAGGCAGGGAGUGGCGGACGGGUGAGUACCACGUGGGUCAUCUACCGUGAGGUGAGGAAUACCGGCGAGAAAUCGCCGACAAGACCGCAUAGGCUCGAUGCAAGUCGAGCAAAGCUCUUUCGAGAGAGGGAGCGCCACACGAGGAGCCUGCGCCCGAUUAGCUAGCUGGUGGAGUAACGGUUCACCAGGGCGACGAUCGGUAGCUGGUCUGAGAGGACGAUCAGCCACACUGGGAUUGAGAACGGCCCAGACUCCUACGGGGGCAGCAGUGAGGAAUUUUCGUCAAUGGGGGCAACCCUGAACGAGCAACGCCGCGUGCAGGAGAAGGUUUCGGAUCGUAAACUGCUUUUCUCGGGAAGAGAACGGACGGUACCCGAGGAAUCAGCCCCGGCUAACUACGCGCCAGCAGCCGCGGU
rnacentral:rRNA from 1 species